rnacentral:rRNA from 1 species
CAAUAGCGUAUAUUAAAGUUGUUGCAGUUAAAAAGCUCGUAGUUGGAUUUCUGUGUCAAGCUUCUGGUCCACCGCACUGCGGUGCUGACUAAGUUGCGUUGACUCAUCCUUGUGGGAAUCAGUCUGGGCUUCAUUGUCCGGCUGUUGCACCGCAUCUUUUACUGUGAAAAAAUUAGAGUGUUCAAAGCAGGCUUACGCUGUGAAUACAUUAGCAUGGAAUAAUAAGAUAGGACUUUGGUUCUAUUUUGUUGGUUGGAGACCAAGGUAAUGAUUAAUAGGGAUAGUUGGGGGUAUUCAUAUUUAAUUGUCAGAGGUGAAAUUCUUGGAUUUAUGAAAGAUGAACUUAUGCGAAAGCAUUUACCAAGGAUGUUUUCAUUAA